rnacentral:lncRNA from 1 species
CCGCUCAACUCAACUCUAAAGUAGAGUGUUAUAAUAAAUUAAAAUUAUUUAAAUUUUUAUAAAUCUUAGAAUGGAGGACGUAUGUGACACCCUUAGAAUUAAUAAUAAUUCUAUAUAAAGUAUAGUAAAACUAAAUCUUUUAAUUCGGUUAUAAUAUUUUGGAGAAUGACUAGGCCUAAAACGUUAAUAGGAUUAAACAUAUUAAGACUAGGCGUCACAGUAUAAGCAUGUUUUUUACGAUAAAAACUUAGACAACUUACCUGAAUUAUAAAUUAAUUUAAAAAUUUGGAUUUUAAUGUCCAAUCUUUUUGAUCUAUUUGAUUUAAUCCAAUCAACGAUAUUUUGACUUCAAAUCUUAAGCUAAUUUUGAACUUUAAUGAAUUUAUAUAUAGCUAGAUGUAUUUAAAUUUUGAAAUCAAAAUAUCGUUGUCUAACUCAAAUUAAAUAAUUUUGUAUGUUUUAAUUUUUUUUGGUUAUUAUUAUUAUUAUAUAUUAUAUAAUCAUUAUUAUUAUUACAACUUUA